UAUCUGGUUGAUCCUGCCAGUAGUCAUAUGCUUGUCUCAAAGAUUAAGCCAUGCAUGUCUAAGUACAAACCUUAAUACGGUGAAACCGCGAAUGGCUCAUUAAAUCAGCUAUGGUUCCUUAGAUCGUCUCAUCCUACUCGGAUAACUGAUAAAAAAUCUAGAGCUAAUACGUGCUUACAAGCCCUGACCUCACGGGAGGGGCGCAUUUAUUAGAUCAAAACCAAUCGGGGCUUGCCCCGUCUGCUUGGUGACUCUGGAUAACUUUUGUGCUGAUCGCAUGGCCUCUGCGCUGGCGACGUAUCUUUCAAGUGUCUGCCCUAUCAACUUACGAUGGUAGGUGAUAUGCCUACCAUGGUUAUAACGGGUAACGGGGAAUCAGGGUUCGAUUCCGGAGAGGGAGCCUGAGAAACGGCUACCACAUCUAAGGAAGGCAGCAGGCGCGCAAAUUACCCACUCCCGGCACGGGGAGGUAGUGACGAAAAAUAACGAUACGGGACUCUUUUGAGGCCCCGUAAUUGGAAUGAGUACACUUUAAAUCCGUUAACAAGUAUCUAUUGGAGGGCAAGUCUGGUGCCAG
rnacentral:ncRNA from 1 species